UACGUAGGGUGCAAGCGUUGUCCGGAAUUACUGGGCGUAAAGCGCACGUAGGCGGCUUUGUAAGUAAGAGGUGAAAGCCCAGAGCUCAACUCUGGAAUUGCCUUUUAGACUGCAUCGCUUGAAUCAUGGAGAGGUCAGUGGAAUUCCGAGUGUAGAGGUGAAAUUCGUAGAUAUUCGGAAGAACACCCAGUGGCGAAGGCGACUCGCUGGACAAGUAUUGACGCUGAGGUGCGAAAGCGUGGGGAGCAAACAGG
rnacentral:rRNA from 1 species